rnacentral:misc_RNA from 1 species
GAAAUGCGAUAAGUAGUGUGAAUUGCAGAAUUCAGUGAAUCAUCGAAUCUUUGAACGCACAUUGCGCCCCUUGGUAUUCCAUGGGACAUGCCUGUUCGAGCGUCAUUUGUACCUUCAAGCUUUGCUUGGUGUUGGGUGUUUGUCUCGCCUCUGCGUGUAGACUCGCCUCAAAACAAUUGGCAGCCGGCGUAUUGAUUUCGGAGCGCAGUACAUCUCGCGCUUUGCACUCAUAACGACGACGUCCAAAAGUACAUUUUUACACUCUUGACCUCGGAUCAGGUAGGGAUACCCGCUGAACUUAAGC